GAGCCUGGCUUUGAACUCAUGAUCCUCCUGCCUCUGCCUCCUGAGUCCCUGGGAUUCUAGGUGUGCACCAUCGUGCUCAGCUUCUAAUUGGAUUCUUAACCACACAUUCUUACAGAUUUUACAUUUAGGAAGAACUAUUAUUAUCUUCCAAAGUUUCAGGAUCUUAAGACAAGUGUCUCUUGGGUUCCUCCCAUUAACAUUAUCUUGAGUCUGCAUUUUUCCUGCAGUUAACAGGUAAUUUGCUGAGGAAUGUGAAAUAUCCUGUCCAUUUAGUCCAGGCAGGGCUGCAGGCCAAUUGCUUCUUGGAAAAUAAAACAUGUUGGGGGUUAGCACAGUGGGCCCAUUGUAGAGAAUUAUUCCCUCAACUUUGUGUUCCCAUCAUUCUCAUAUGUCUGUUCCCUAAUGAGAAGAAUUAUUUUUAAAACUUUCACUUAAUAAACUCAAAGUAUCAAAGAAAAAUGUACAUUGAAGUGUCAGAAAGCUUUAGCUAUCACUUGUAUAAGACAUACUAGGAAGGCAUAUACCUAACACAUGGAACUCUGAGUACUUCCUUAGGCAACUGCAUAUAGUUUACUAUUGCAAUGUUCAUUUUCUUUAUUUUUGAAAACUAAUUUUAAACUUCAGAAAAUAUCUUGAUGAAUAUAAGCACAAAGAUUGAGGACUUACACACAUAUUUCUAGUACACUUAUCUACGUAGCACUGAGAAAAUUGUUUCCCUUUAGUUCAAUUAGAUUCUUAAUUUAGAAACAAUUUUGUCAUUUUACCUAAUGAUUUCCUUCUCAUUUGGGUGACAAUGUUUUAAUCUCAGACUAGGAGGCCUCUAAUUGUGGUUGUUAGCACUUCCAUAUUUCUUCAUUAAGGGUUUGCAAUUCAUUCUCUUUAAGGCAUAUAAUGUUGAAGCAUAGAAAUGCAAAUUAUUAGUCUUGUGUUUAAAUUGUCAAGUAAAAAAGUGAGUGAAAGUAUUUCUAUUAUAUAUUCUUAACUACUUCCAUCUCUUCUUUUAAAUUAUUUUUAUAUAAUAAAUAUUUGCAAGCUCCUAACAUGAACCCAAAGUAGUAGGAGAUAUAAAGAGGAAAAUUCAUAUUCAAACUUCUUUCAGUUGACUUGCAGAAACAAGGAUCAGUGUUGUUCCUCUGAAUUGUACCAAAGAAAUGGAAGAAUGCUGGAAAGUCCUUUCCAUUAGUGCCAUACAUUGAAUGAAUAUAUAACUCAAAUAUUUGUUUACAUUUGUGUCUAUCAUCAUUCCAGAUUUAGAGGAUAAACAAAUACAUGUUUACCUCUAUACCGGCUGGAUUACUAUGAUGAUAUUUAAGAUUUGGAAUAAAGAAAUGAUUACACAUAUUGUGUUCUGUACAUUUUCUCACAUUGUGUCAUAUUUAUUUUUAUGUAUGACACAAUAUACAUAUAUGUAAAUAUAAGCAAUGUAUAUGUAAUAAACAGACUUAAAUACAUAUUUCCCAUGCACACAUAGUAGGUUUAUUAAACUACAUGCACUUUUUAAACCUUUUCACCUUCAUUAUUGAAAGUCCUUUCAGACACCAGGCAUAUGUGUAUUUACAUGACAAUUUCCCAAUAGUUGAAGGACUACAGCUUUAAUCUUCCUUUUCCUGUUCAGUAUGAGCCACUACAUUUUCAGUGACAGAGGCCAAAGCAGAUAUCUGGCUCAUUCACACCUAAUGGAUUCAGAGUUUUCUUUCCCAACCCUACCAAAUGUUCAUUUUAUUAGAGGACUCCACUGCAUACCAGCGAAACCUCUGCCCAAAGUAAACCUAUUGCCAUUUAGUUAUUUCUAUCUUUCUUACAUUUUCAUCAGGUAUGAUUCUCUCUUUCUGGCUCAAAUGACUCACUCACAGUGACAGAAUUACCUGAAAUGGAGCAAAGAUACCUGUAAGUUGGAAUUCUUGCAUGUCUAUACCAUCACAAGUAUGUGAAUUUUAUUUUUGUCUACAGAAGAAUAGGGACUUUUGAGGAUAGGGUCAAUUAAAUGAAGAUCUUUUUUUAUUCUACACGUAAGAAAAUACCAGUCAUUCUCUGAAAGAAUAUUGAGAAGGGACUAGCAUGUACCACAACAAAGUGCUGAAUAUACAGAAAAACAAUGUAUCACAACCUCUACCCCAAACACCCUUUCAUUCUGCAUUGAAAGUUAGAUUGUGAGCAAGAAAGAGAAAUUGUGUGGGAAAUGUUAUAACAAGGAAAGGCAGGAAGUGUUUCCUGUUUACACCACUAAUAUAGGUGUUCUCAGGAAAACUCCCUGAGAGGACAUGAGUCUCCAUACCACAGCUGCCUGACUGAAAGAAUAGAACAAAAAUGUAUGUUGCACACGUAUCAAGGAAUACAAAUUGCACGUUUUUAAUAAGUACCUAUUAAUUUGUACCACUUGUAUCUGUAGGCUGCCCUGAGUUUAUAAUUAUAAACAGAUCUAUAAGCAUAUAGAAUUAUAUUUCUUUAAAUAAUCAGAGAAUUAAUGCAUUUUUAAUGAAUAUCAUAUCUUCUUAACAUAAUUUGAAAGCAAGCAUUUUCUACCACAUCAUUACUUCAUCUUUCAAAGAAUACUUUUUGGUUACUUUCUUCUUAGUAGCAACAGAACAUCUGAUUUUAUUCUAAGUUUAAAACCAAAUAUGCUAAUUCUCCAUUCCACAAGCAGAGAAAUGAAUAUUCUGCAAAGUCCAAACCUUGGCUAAAUGAUUUCUCCAUUCACAGUAAGGGAUAAUGACAGUGUCAAUAGAAAAGUUAAGAAACCAGGUAAAAGAAGAAAAGAAAAAGAUGAUUAGCAGACUAACCAUGACCAAUAAGAAAGGCUAUUAUGGUAGUGCAGUUUUGUAAACAAGAUUCAAAUCCACAUUGGUGAUUGUCAGGCCUAUUUGAAUUCUAAUUGCUCCAAAGUGCUUCCUUGCCAUUCACUAUUAGAUUCCCAUGAAUUUCUGUAAUUUACAAGGAUUAGAUAUUUGGAAAAUAUAGCAAAAAUCUGAAAAAUACACAUUAUCUUAUUUAUUGUAUAUUUUAAAAUAGCUAGAUGUAAGGCUUUGGAAAGUUCUCAUCAUGAAGAAUUGACAAAUGCCUGAGGUGAUACAGGGAUUAUCAUUACACAUUAUAUAUAUAUAUUGUACUAUCACAUAAAUCCCCUGAAAUUAUACAAUAUUAUGGGAAAAUCAAAAUUUUAAAAAUUGUAGUAAAUGAGAAAAAAUAAAAGUGCAUUUUGCCAUUUAUUUUACAAUAAAAUUGAUAAAUUAUGUAGAGACAAAUAAUUAAGGUGUACAUAAUAUUUAUAGUAGUUAUUGAUAAGACAAACACUGGAAGUUAAUUACAUACAUAAUAUGGAAAAGUGAUGUUAAAGCUUAUACUUCUUUCAUGUUAUUACAAUCAUUUUAUCAAAGAAUACUCAAUUCCACUGUCAGCCAUUACACAAAUACAUGUGGAAAAUGAGGAUAAAUAGUAAGUAAGGUUAUUAUUUUCUUGGAGGAUGAAAAAAUAUAUAUAAUAGGAUUAGAGUUCUCUAAAUAUGUGCCUUAUAUAUGCACUUAGUUGUAUGAGUAGAAAACAAUACAGAACAAAAACUCUCAUAUUUAUAUGUAUUUGUUAUCUAGGAUGGAACCCAGGUCCUCAUGCAUAUUAAGCAAAUGUUGAGACACUAAGCUGUAUCUCCAGUCCUUAAAAAAAUUAAUUAAGUCAAUUUAAAUUUUGAACAAUAAGGAGAUUACUAGUAACUAAUUUCCUUUUUCAUAAUAUUUCAAUAUUUAUAAUAAACUUUUAAAUUUUACAACAGUGUUACAGAAUGAGGAUGUCUACUCAUUAGAGCGGUUAAUCUAUAAUAGAAAGAUUUGUCACUCAAUCAUGUAAUACACAAAUUAAAUAAAUUAAUUAAUUAAAUAAUAAGAAAAUAUUUUCCACAACCUGGAUAUAGGAGGACUUAGCAGCGCAUCAGUGAGAUUAAAUAGUGAAGAAAAUUGCCUACAGUAUUAAGGUCUUCUGAAUCGCAUAAUAUUUCAUCCAAACUGUGUUUUUGAUUUAAAAAAAUGUAACAAGUUGAAAUGACUUACUCAAUAUGAACUAAUAUUUUUGAAGAAGACUUUUAAUAUUUAUUUUCUCUUUGCAUAAAGGGCCUUUCUAAUGGAGACUGAAUAUUAGGCUGAAGCGAGAGACAUCUUUUGCCCUCUAGUGGAUAACAUAUUUAUUUUAUUUCCAGUUAGGCUUUUUUUUUUUUUUUCUUUUGCCUCAUUCAAACUCAAGUAGUUGCCUCUAGAGGAUCCUGAGUCUCUUAAAUGCUCUCAGUUGAGCCAAAAGAAUAGUGACUGGAAGAACCUGGAAGCUGAAGUGGGUGGCCAGGGGCACAGAGUGAAAUAACUAGUAUGACCUUGAAAGGCAACAUAUCAAAGGGUGUGAAGGAGCUGAGGAGAACUAUGAGAACUAUGAAGAUAGAAAAAAGAGCAAGAGGAAGAAGUAGUGAUGGAAAGGAUGAGAUUUUAGGGAAGCCAGUGUGGGUGAUCAUAAGUUUUGAAGAGAAACUUGCACACAUAUGACCUCAGUCUCAGUAGUGAAGUGUUAGAUAAAAACUAAGUAUCCAAUAUGGAUUUAUAGAUAGGCUUUUUGUCAUAUACGUAUAUCUUCUAUAAAUUAUGUUCCUGGGACUUUGCUUACCUAUGAAUCUUAGGAAAUAAUGGUAAGGUGUCUAAACCAGAUGAAAUUUAAAUAUAUUAUACUGUAAUCUGUGUAUGGGGUGAAGGUGGGAGUUCAUAACCCACUUGAAUCAAAGUGUGGAAUAUGAUAUGUCAAGAAAUUUGUAAUGUUUUGAACAACCCACAAUAAAAAAAUUAAAAAAAUAUAUAUUAUACUGUUAAAAAAUCCAUUAAAAAGACAAAACAUUCCACGUAUAUUCAGUAUCUAUAUGACUAAAAUUCAGAGAAACAGAAAGUAGAAAUAUGGUAGACAGACAGAGCCUGGAGAAAAGAGAAUUGUGUCCAAUUUAUAUAGUUUCUUGAUUUUGCAAAGUAGUAUGUUCUGGAAUUGUUGGCAUUAAGAUAUAAAUAUAUGUAACAUUACUGACCUAUGUACCUCACAAAGGUUAAAAUUAUAUAUUUAUAUUUUGUUAUUUGACCUUAAUUUUCAAAAGAGCCACUAUUCUAGUAUGUCCUGAAAAUAUUUAUUUUUCUUUCCUUAUGUGUGUAAACCAGUCAUUAAAGUAGCCUUUGCCCUGCUCUUGGAUUUGUUAUGGAGCAAAUUCUCUCCUUCAUAGGAAAUAGAAGACUCUGUCUAGAUCUAAGAGAGAUUGAGUUGUGGUGUUUUCACUGGGGUCAAUUGUUGGAAACAUGACCGAAGUAAAUCUAAUGUGAUUACAUGAGACUUUGCCUACAUUCCACAAAGGUUAGAUAAGAUGACCUAAUGGUACAGAAUUAUGGAAAGAAUCUAUUGAUCUCUCUAAAGGUUCUAAUAACAGAAAUUUCCUUGGAUAUCUUUAAUUUGUCUCAGCAUUCACUUUUAAAACCAAAUAUACAUGGCAGAUUCUAAAAUAGUGCAGAUUUUAAAAUUUCAAUAUUAACACUUUGCUAAGGAAGAAAUAUGUUUAACAUGUUCAUUGUGAAUUGGAUAUUAUAUGACAGAUACAUAGGAAUUAACAAAUUCUGCCCUGCCAUGUCCUCUUUUUCCAUGCAGGAUCUGUGAGAUCAAUGUAGAUAUCAAUGAAGUUUAAUUUUAAUUGGGACCAGCACAAUGAUAAGUAGGUAUUAAAAAGCUAAAUCAUAUCACAUAUUGUCAUCUUCCUACAUAAUUUUUGCUUCCAUUUUUCUCCUAAAUGAUAAAAGGGAUCAAUUCAUGGUGCUGUACAUGGUGUUAUUCAGAGAAGAAAAGCCAGGGUAACCACCAAACCAACCAUAUUUAGAGAAAAUAAAAGUGACUGACCCUGUUAGUUUAUCAAGGUUGCAGAUGUCUGAGUUAGGUUGGAGACAGGAAGCUGCCCUUACCAUGGAUUCUCUGCAUUAAAAAAUGUGAUCCCCCAAGGGCAAACACUAAUAGAAUAAUUUAUUUUAAGAAAGGGUUGGUUUCUGAGUUAACUUCUUCAAUAUCAGUCCAAAGGAAAAAAGUGUAAUAUUAAAUAUAAAACUUGAAAACAACUGUAAAUUAUGGAUUCAUAGAGCAAAAUGAAUGUAGGAGGUCAUUAGAAAUGUUAAGCAGAUAUUUGACCCAAAAUGAUAAGUAUCAAAGUUUUAAAUAAUUAUAUUUCAAAUUGAUAACCUGUUUACUUUAGCUACUAUAUAUGAACUAUAAAGGUUGCCAUACCAAAAAUAAGGUUGCAUACCAAAUAUUGCUAAAUAUAAAAAUACUUACAGAAGUAUGACCUCUAUUCAUAUAUCCUAUGUUCCUAUUAUCAUUUCUUCUUCCCAUUUUAUUAUUCUACAAUAGACAUUUUUCUAUGUAAUUUUUUUCACAUUCUAACUUGCUAAAAUUUGAAAUAAUUUCAAGUAAAAAGACAUCUGCCUUACCCUAAUGGGUUUUAUGGAGAUUUGAUGGCAAGAAACCAAAUGCCUUAGGACACAAUAAUACUGUAUAAGUAGAUGCCCCAAGGUGACCUCCUUGGUAAGACUUGGGGAAUGAAUCAUGAAAAUAUGAAGAAAGUUAAUCAGAAAGAUAGUAGUUGAGUAGUUCACAAAUGUAUUGAAAAUAUUAAUGAAAAUUUCAUUAUUUACCUAUGUUCUCUCUCUUAUUAGAGAAUAAAGAAAACCAUUUACAUUUUAUUAUACAUGGCAUAAUAAUAAAUGAUUUGCAUUUCAGUUGUAAUUACCCCACACAAGGAGGUUUUUUUUUUUUUUCCUCUUCCUGCAUUGUCUCUCUGUCUCCUGUUUUUUCAACUUUACACCUAUCCUUUGAUCUCCUGUCGGGCUAUUUGAAAUGCCAUAAAAAAUGUUUCUUAUCCUUUAUUAUAAUGUUCUCUACAUUUUCCAUGACAACAAAAUCCAAGAAUCUUAAUUGAAGGGGUAUUAUUUUCAUGAUGAAGUUUAGUCUGUCCCACCUAUAAUUCUAGCAAAACAACUACCCUACUACCUGCUGCCUUGGACAAUGCACAGCAGAUUCAGGGGUGUUAUUUUACUGUAAGAGUACACAUGCAUGUACUUCCCCUGCUAUAAUUAGAUAUCCUAUUGCUACUAUCCGGAAUGUGCUCUUUCUUUUUGACUUUUCUUUAUCUUUCAAGUCUCAAGGCACAUAUUUCCAUAUCACCUUCAAUUAUGUCUCCAAAAGAUGUAAUGCUUCUUGCUCUGAGAUUUAAAAGCAAUUUCUGCACAGUUUCAUGGUUAUAAUAAUUUGCUCUUAGGGGCUGUGGUUGUGGCUCAGUGAUAGAGUGGUCACCUAGCAUGUGUGAGGCACUGGGUUUGAUCCUCAGCAUCACAUAAAGAUAAAUAAAGGCAUCCUGUCCAUCUACAACUAAAAAAUAUUUUUAAAAAAUCUGCUUUCUAGAAAAUAAUUCAUAUUCAAUGGCUUAUAUUGUGCAGUUCUUAUUUUUUUCUGACUUAUAAUUUGCCCUGAUUUAUUCUUAUCCUAGGUCAUCUAAAAACCAAACUUUUAUUAUUAAUGUUGGAACCAAUGGCAUCUAUAAGGAAAUCUAUCAUGAGGACCCUGUGAUUGGCAUUUUGCUUAUUUGCAGAUCAACCUGAAAAUAUUUCUCACAUGAGGAUCAAUGGUGUAGCUGUUAGAUUAAAAUUUAAAAUGAUGUCAAGUACUGAUUUGCUAAAAGCCUUGAAUAAUACAGUCAUGGAUUUCCUUUUAUAUAUAAAUGGAAAUAUGAAAAUAGAUUGUUCAUAUUUUAGUCCAAUUUUUAAAAUUAAAAUGAUUUAGACAAUGCGAUAUGUACUUUUACUAAAUAGUCCUUUUUAAAAUUGAAAAAUUACUCUGAUACAUUAAUAGCAUGACUAGUUAUUAUUAAAUCAAUGUGAUGCAAAAAAAUAUUUUCUGUGUAGAUAAAUGUAAAUAACUUUGUAAUAUGAAAGCACACAGAGAAAACUUGAAAAAAGAUCAGAUAAUUAUUCAAAACCUCAAAUUUCUGAAAUUAUUAAUCUUUUCAUAUAUUGUACAUAUUAUUAUGCAGAGUGAAAUAAUUUCAUACAUGAAUAACAUAUGUAAUGGCCAAUCCAGUUAAUUUUUCUGUCUUUUAAAUACUUAUAAUUUGUAUUGUUAAGAAUCUCUAACUUUUCUUUUCUGAUUCUUUAUAAGAAAAAUAAGAAGAGUUGUACUGUAUAGUCACCUGACUGAGCCCAGCACAGUUGUACUUAUUCCCGCUAUGUAACUGCAGUUUGGUACCUUUUGUCCAACAUCUCUAUUCUCACUGCCUCCUAUACUGCCUAGCUUCUGCUUAGUACAAUUCUGAAGCUGUCUCCAAGAAAUCUCCUUUUGUAGAUUCUAUACCUGAAAGAGAACACACAGUACUUUUCUCCUAGGGUCUAGUUUAUCUUAUUUAACAUGAUAUUCACCAGUUUCACCCUCAUUCCUGAAAAGACAGGAUUUCAUUUUGUUUUAAAUGGCUGAACAAUACUGUAUAUGUUUCACUUUUUUUUUACCCAUCAUCUAAAAAAGAACACAACAGUCCAUUUCAUAUCUUGGAUAAUUUUGUAACAAACAUGAAGAUGCAGUUGUCAUUUUGAUAUACUUAUGUUAUUUUCUUUAAUUUAUAGCCCUUCAUGGGAAAGUUGAGCUCCAGGAGAGUCGUAUUUUCAGUUUUUCCAGAAAUUUCCUUAUUUUUUUCUGCAGUGGCUGUGAUAAUUUUCAUUCUAGUAGCAGGCUGUAAAAGUGUCUCUUACUUUGCUCCCUCACCAAAAUUUGUAUUUUUUGUCUUUUCAACUACAGCCCUUCUUACUGGGGUUAGAUUACCUCUUGUGUUUGUCUUCACUUGCAUUUCCUUCAGGAUUAGUGAUGGGGACCAAUCCAAAAUAUAUGUUAUUGCCAGGGACUUAAUGCUGUACUGGCAAGGCGUUUGCACAUUCCAUCCAUUUAGAAAAGGUAUCAAAUUCUAUUGAAAAAUGAUCAGGGCAGUAAGGUAUUGGUAGAUGCUUCAUGGGAAACACUGUCUUGUCAUGGGAGAGUCUCACUUUUGAAACUGUGUGAACAUAUGAUUUUCUGGUCCAGGGGCCAGUGUGAUUGGGUGCCCUGCCUACCUUUCUCCAAGGCUAUUUUUAAAGAGCCAGCAUCUUUGUCAUUGGACCAACAUAUAGGUAAAUUCUCACUAUAUUAAGUGUAAUUAAAUCCAAUUGAAUGAACAGGUGUAAUGUGUUUGUCUGAAAAACCUCACAUCAUUUGUAUCAUUAUUAAUACUGGGAUGUAUUUUCCUGUCUAAAUAGUUAUGUGUACUAAAGGUAUAUCUGGGAAAUAGGUCCAAUAAAUUUCCCAUUAACUCUGCUUACCUAACAGCUCAAAAGAGCUAGAGAGACACAAACUUUGUGGUGGAGACAUAGUACCUCCAUGUUGUUUGAUUGUCUGCUCAGCCUGAUACGUGAGGUCCUUCAGUUGUCCCUGUGAUGGCAGGUUGGCCUUUUGGUUCCUCAGAGUCUUCUCUCCCUUCUUCCUACUUCUCAGCUUCUUCUUCCCACUGGGGGAUGGGAUUGACACAUCUGGAUGAGCUCUUUGUUUCCAGAUCCUCCAUGAUGAUGACAGAUGGCAUGUUCAGAUACUCAGAUGGGACAAGCUGCACAUUUGGGAAAUGUGCAUUUAUCCCAUAUUAUGUCAUUUAUCCCACAUUAUCACUGAAUCCAGUCUAUUCCAUUGUCCUCUUUGUAAGUCUCUCUGCCAAACAAGGCCUAAUGGGCCUGUGAAGUGGUAAAUGUGUUGCUCAGCAAAAAUGCAACCUUCAGAAUCACAAUUUAAAAAUCUUAAAAGAAAGAGAGCAUGAUUCAAACAGUUUUGUGGGGUUCUAUCUCCUCCUUUUUGUUUUUGUAAUUGUAGUUUAAGAGACAAGUGAGCUCUACCCACAAUAGUCUGGCCUUUGUGAGAUUAUAAGGAAUACCUGUUUGGUGAUCAGUAUAUGUUGAAAAGAAUAACUAAUGUAAGCUGGAGCAUUAUCAGUUUUAAUUUGUAGAGGGUAGCCCAGCACUGCAAAAGCAGCUGAGUGAUGAGAAAUAACCUGAUGAGUAUGUUCUCCUGUGCAAGCAGUAUCAAAAAUGAAAUGAGAACACGUAUCAAUAAUAACAGGUACAUAACACUGUUUGCCAAAUUGAGGGAUGUAAGUUACAUCCAUCUGCCACUGUUGGUUUGGUCAAAACACUACAGGGAUUAACCACAGUUGGUGAAGCUGAGCUGUGAAGUACACAAUGAGGAUAUUGAUGAACAAACUGGUGAGUUGUUCUUGAGUAAUAUGAGAUUUAUUUGUGCAGACUGGAAGCAUUCUGAUGAUGUAAAGUAUGAGAGACUUAGCAGAGCCAUAUGGAGACAACUGUUGACAGGCUGCAACAAGAUGAUCAAUCAUAGAAUUACCUGAUGUUAAAGAACAUGGAAGAUUGGAAUGAGCUCUAAUAUAACCAAUAAAGCAAGAAUAAUGAUGCACUUGAAUUGUUUUC
rnacentral:lncRNA from 1 species